CACGGAGCGAGAGCGCAUAGCGCACCUGCGGCAUCCAGUGCUGAAACGGGCUCCGCUUAAUGACAAAACUUUCCCGGUUUUCCUCCACGAACGCAAGCGGCUGCAGUGGAAAGAAUCAGUGACACAAGUUUGGCAUGCUUUUCUGUAAGCAGUAGAAGAAAACUCUGCCUGCACUGCAGGCAUGAUAAUCAGCAUAUCCCAUGGUGCGUGUCCUGUGCAUGCUCUGCCACAUGCUCGCUUCCCCAGCACGGAUAUUUCUGCAGAAGCAAUUCUGAAGAGCUAAAAACCCAACUCUCUUCUUCCAUGACCAGGCCCUGCCCAGUGGUCAACUUGACCUUUGCCAAUACCACUAAAUAGUGCUCCAGGAAGAAGCAGAGCAGAAGUGGGACAAAGUGACUGGACAGCUGUAUGAAACCUCCAUUCUGAAUUGGACCUGAACCAAUACACAUAGGUCUUGAGCACCACUGCAUACCUCCCUUAAAAAUCUUCACUGCUCUGAAUACUGGAUGAAUGUCUCCUUAAAGUUCUUGGCAGACCUGAG